rnacentral:misc_RNA from 1 species
CAGGGGUUUUCAAAUGCCAAGCUUUGGAGUCGGAGGUUUUGCCUCCCCUCCGGGCGGCAUUAUAACCACCUUAAUUCACCGUGUGCACUCAUUGGACUAUGGAGUAUUUCAUAGUUCCCAAUCUUUCUACGUCUUAUCACAUGUCUGAUAUAUUAUUUUUAAAUUUGACAAAUA